GUGGAUAGAGCUCAGUCGGUAGAGUGCUUGCCUCACAUGCACAAGGCUCUGGGUUCAAUCCCCAGCAUCACA
rnacentral:tRNA from 1 species